rnacentral:rRNA from 1 species
UACGUAGGUGGCAAGCGUUGUCCGGAGUUACUGGGCGUAAAGCGUGCGUAGGCGGUGUCUUAAGUUUGUUGUGAAAUCUCCCGGCUUAACCGGGAGGGUGCGGCGAAUACUGAGAUGCUGGAGUGCCGGAGAGGUAAGCGGAAUUCCUGGUGUAGCGGUGAAAUGCGUAGAUAUCAGGAGGAACACCUGCGGUGUAGACGGCUUACUGGACGGUAACUGACGCUGAGGCACGAAAGCGUGGGUAGCAAACAGG